AGCAUAUCAAUAAGCGGAGGAAAAGAAACUAACAAGGAUUCCCCUAGUAACGGCGAGUGAAGCGGGAAGAGCUCAAAUUUAAAAUCUGGCAGUCUUCGAUUGUCCGAGUUGUAAUCUAGAGAAGCGUUUUCCGUGCUGGACUGUGUACAAGUUUCCUGGAUACGGAACAUCAUAGAGGGUGAGAAUCCCGUCCUUGACACAGACUACCAGUGCUCUGUGAUGCGCUCUCGACGAGUCGAGUUGUUUGGGAUUGCAGCUCAAAAUGGGAGGUAAAUUCCUUCUAAAGCUAAAUAUUGGCGAGAGACCGAUAGCGAACAAGUACCGUGAGGGAAAGAUGAAAAGCACUUUGGAAAGAGAGUUAAACAGUACGUGAAAUUGUUAAAAGGGAAACGCUUGAAGUCAGUCGCGUCUACUUGGACUCAGCCUUACCUCGGUUUGGUGCAUUUCCUUGUUGGACGGGCCAGCGUCCAUGUUGUCCGUCGGAAAAGGGGUGAAGAAAUGUGGCUCUUUCGGGAGUGUUAUAGUCUUUGCUCGUAUACGGCGUGUGAUAUGGAGUGGUACAGCAUGCUUCGGUGGUGCUUGUGCUGGCAUAA
rnacentral:rRNA from 1 species